UCUUCCGAGGAGCGUUGCAACCGCCACUUUAGCUUGGCGGCCAGGCUCGGAACCGUGACAACGGCGCUCACCCGCA
rnacentral:ncRNA from 10 species